rnacentral:rRNA from 1 species
GAUGAACGCUGGCGGCGUGCCUAAUACAUGCAAGUCGAGCGAACGGACGAGAAGCUUGCUUCUCUGAUGUUAGCGGCGGACGGGUGAGUAACACGUGGAUAACCUACCUAUAAGACUGGGAUAACUUCGGGAAGCCGGAGCUAAUACCGGAUAAUAUUUUGAACCGCAUGGUUCAAAAGUGAAAGACGGUCUUGCUGUCACUUAUAGAUGGAUCCGCGCUGCAUUAGCUAGUUGGUAAGGUAACGGCUUACCAAGGCAACGAUGCAUAGCCGACCUGAGAGGGUGAUCGGCCACACUGAAACUGAGACGCGGUCCAGACUCCUACGGGAGGCAGCAGUAGGGAAUCUUCCGCAAGGGGCGAAAGCCUGACGGAGCAACGCCGCGUGAGUGAUGAAGGUCUUCGGAUCGUAAAACUCUGUUAUUAGGGAAGAACAUAUGUGUAAGUAACUGUGCACAUCGUGACGGUACCUAAUCAGAAAGCCACGGCUAACUACG